rnacentral:rRNA from 1 species
ACCCUGGACGGGGGAUCACUCGGCUCGUCCGUCGAUGAAGAGCGCGGCCAGCCGCGAGAACUGAUGCGAAUUGCAGGACUCAGUGAACAUCGACACCUCGAACGCACAUUGCGGCCUCGAGAUCUCUUGUCUCGGGGCCACGUCCGGUCGAGAGGCGGAAAUUUGCAUGUCUUCUCACUCGGUCGUCGAGAGACAUCUCACCGUCCCCGCGUUCUCACGCGGUGGAAACCGGGACGUCGCAGGGCAGGCGGGGCCCUUCGUCUCCCGACAUCAGACCGCGGUCGCCCGUUACGACCGCGAGCAGUCGUUGAUUGCAAGACGAUGGCAGCAGGACUUAGUCGUUUNGCUCUCGGAAGUGGUGGUACUUGGGGCGUCUCGAAGUCCACCGCUGACACCGUCUUGCCAAUCCAUAACCACCGCCGCCCUCGGCUCGGACGAGACGACCCGCUGAACUUAAGCAUAUCGCUAAGCGGAGGAAAAGAAACCAACCGGGAUUCCCUUAGUAACGGCGAGUGAACCGGGAGAAGCCCAACGCCGAAUCCCGUCGCAAGUAAACGGCUUCGGGAUAUGUGGCGCAUGGGUCGAAGGCAGCCGCUCGUUUUCGUAUCGCGUAGUUCGGAGUUCCCUCGAUCGGGGCCGCCCGCGGCGGGUGCCAGGCCCAUUCGGUGCGUACGACGAGCGACGGCCUUCGCUCCGAGAGUCGGGUUGCUUGGGAACGCAGCCCAAAUCGGGUGGUAAGCUCCAUCCAAGGCUAAAUACCGGGACGAGUCCGAUAGUCGACAAGUACCGUGAGGGAAAGUUGAAAAGAACUUUGGAGAGAGAGUUCAAGAGAACGUGAAACCGCCCAGGGGUAAACGGGUGGAACCGCUCACCGCGAUCGCGGGGGGACUCAGUCCGGUGCUGCCGAACGGGGUCCAAACUCGAUUUGGUUGUUGCCUUCGGGCAGCGGCGCCAUCAUAGGCCGUCGCGGACGUCGUUCCGGGGGACGGGGUCGGGGUGGCUCGGUUUCGGCCGCGUCGCUCUAGGCUCCGACUGCCUCUGGAUUCUGCUUUUGCGCUCGCGUCGCCGACGGGGGAAGACGAGCCGCGUUGAAAUGGGGAGCGUGGCCGCAAUCGCUGCCGUUAUCGCUCUAUUCUUCCUCGCGAUCACUCGCUCAACUCUUAGCUCGGCACGAAAUGACGCGGGCGCUUCGGCGCGACGUUAAUCCGCACGGCCGGCACCGGACGCACUUCCCCUCCGGUCCGUCGUCGCGACCCGUUCCCGGCGUGCAGGUCGACGCGCGGUGUCCGUGGGCGGAAGGCGCACCCUAAACUCCCCGUUCCACCCGUCGUCGUUCCACCUUGCGGUGGGGCGGCGCGCGGGAGUCGGGGAGGCGUCUUCUGUCGGGCCCGCGAGCGUACUGCCCUCUUCUGCCGGGGACGGAGGAAACGAAAACGCGAUCCGUUAUACGUGGCGAGCCGGUCCUUUCCUGUUGGACGAUCCGCGCGGUGAGCGCGCGAGUGCUUCAAACACACUCGCGCACUCGCCUGUUAGCGCCUUUCGGGCGUGCGUGGUAAAGUCUGCGGGAAUUUCGGGACCGGCGCGGCCGCGCCGAAAUCCGCCCCGUGCCGGCGCGCGACGUCGUCUCGUCGCGUCGUCUUGUCCGCGGCCGGCAAAAACCGGUCGCGCGGCAGGGCACUGCCGGCACGGUAGCUCGGCGCUAAGCGCCGCACGUCACUUCGGGUCCGCGACGUGCAUCGGCAACCCACCCGACCCGUCUUGAAACACGGACCGAGGAGUCCUGGCCGUUCGCGAGUCGUAGGGGCCGGGACGAACCCCGAAGGCGUAGCGAAAGCGAGAGAGCGCGUGGAAGGGCACCGGACCGGGAGAGGUGUCGCGGCGAAAGCGGUUCCGGCGGGGAGUCCUCUUCCUUCCGCCGCCUAGCAGUGCCCGAUCCCGCCGGCGUUUGCCGUUUACGUCCCGUCCCGCUUCGCCCACUUUUCUCGCCCGUUCCGAUGUGUUCGGAUUUUCCCCUCUGAGGGGAGAUGAGUGAACGUUCGGGCGUCUGUGGUGGGAAGAGACUUACGGGCGGAGUGGUCGGCGGGGUGACGACGGUAUAUCCUCCCACCGCCCGUCGGUGAGAUCCCGCGGCUUGAACUAGUCACGAUUUAAUCGUCGAGUUUAGGCGCUGCGCGCGGGCGCAUCACCCCCGGGUCGGUAAUUUUUUUUCCGAGUACGACUCGGCCGACUCUGGUGUAGCGAGCGGCCAGGGACCCGAAAGAUGGCGAUCCACGCCCGGUCGGGAUGAAGCCAGAGGAAACUCUGGUGGAAGUCCGAAGCGCCUCUGACGUGCAAAUCGAUCGUCGGAACCGGGUGUAGGGGCGAAAGACCAAUCGAGCCGUCUAGUAGCUGGUUCCCUCCGAAGUUUCCCUCAGGAUAGCUGGCGUUCGAUGUUCGCAAUUCCAUCCGGUAAAGCGAACGAUUGGAGGCCCCGGGGCCGUUCACGGCCUCGACCUACUCUCGAACUCGGAACGGGUGGAACGGGUCGACUCUCCCGAAUACGGAGCCGUCCCUCGCUCUCUGCUUGCGCAGAGAAAGGAAUGUGAAUGCCAAGUGGGCCACUUUUGGUAAGCAGAACUGGCGCUGUGGGAUGAACCAAACGUCCGGCUAAGGUGCCUAACGCGACGCCCAUGAGAUCCCCGAAAGGGUGUCGGUCGAUAUAGACAGCAGGACGGUGGCCACGGAAGUCGGAAUUCGCUAAGGAGUGUGUAACAACUCACCUGCCGAAUCGACCGGCCCCGAAAAUGGAUGGCGCUGGAGCGACGGACCGAUGCCGGACCGUCGCGGCGAGGAGCGCGCUCGCGCGCCUGACCGAUGCCGCGAUGAGUAGGAGGGCGCCGCGGUGAGCACGGAAGCCUAGGGCGCGAGCCCGGGUGGAGCCGACCGCGGGUGCAGAUCUCGGUGGUAGUAGCAAAUAUUCGAACGAGACCUUCGAAGACCGAAGUGGAGAAGGGUUCCGUGCCAACGGCGGUCGAGCACGGGUCAGUCGGUCCUAAGACGCGGGCGAAAGUCUUCCCAAAGGAGCCGUAUCCGUAUCUUACGCACGCAAGCACGAUACGAGCCCAGAGAUGAACGUGCAAGCGUAAAGAUAUACGGUCGGCCUUACGUCGAAAGGGAAUCGGGUUAAUAUUCCCGAACUCGGAAUCGGAGAGUGCCCGGGGGUGGCGGCGCUGCUGGCAGCAAUGUCGGUGGCGUCUCGUCGCUUCUCGGGCGAAACCGCGGUGACGCAAGCGAGCCCGGAGACGUCGCCGAAAGCCCCGGGAAGAGUUCUCUCUUCUUCGUAAAGGACCGUGUCCGUGGAAUCGGCUCGUCCGGAGAUACGGAAAAGGUACCUGUAGAGCGCCGCGGCUCGGGCGGCGUCCGGUGCGCUUUCGGCGGCCCUGGAAAAUCCGGGUCUGGUAUUCGCAGCUCUCGAGUCGGUCCGUACCCACCAUCCGCAGCAGGUCUCCAAGGUGUACAGCCUCUCGUCGAUGGCAUCAAUGUAGGUAAGGGAAGUCGGCAAAAUGGAUCCGUACCUUCGGAAGAAGGAUUGGCUCCGAGGACCGGGUCGGUCGGGCCGUGCCCGCGCGAAGCGAGGAACCGGUACGGGGCUGUAGCGUUCGCUCCGUUCGCGCUUUGCGGCGUGGGUUCAGUGUCGUAGCGGUCCGUUAGCAACCCUGUUGCGAUGGUAUGUUCGGGUUGAGGACAGCAUGGGAGUACAGCGUGCAGUUCCAGCGGAGGCUCAGUGAAUGCGCCGGAGAGAGGGACACCCGAUCUCCGUGCGUCGGACGCUAGUCGGCCUGUUGGAGUCCUGUCGCGACUCUCUCAUCCACCUCCUCUUCUACGUUCCGCCUCGCGCAAGCUUCGCCACGGAUCUCCGCUCGCGGUGCUGCCCCGUCGCUACCGGCGCGUCGGUCGGCGAGCAAAACGGCUCCUCGCCCGGGUCUUCGUGGAUCGCCACGGCUUCCAGCCCCUCAACAAGUAACGUCGGUGCGUGCAGGGCCUAACCUACCUCCACUACACGUGGGUGUGGGCGGCUCGCGCGCCCGUCGUCCCGCCCGUUGAGUGCGCCAUUACGGCGUGGGGGCGUUCGUCCGGCAGCGAACGGUCGACUCGGAACUGGUACGGACCAGGGGAAUCCGACUGUCUAAUUAAAACAAAGCAUCGUGUGGCCGGUCGACCCGUACAGACACGAUGUGAUUUCUGCCCAGUGCUCUGAAUGUCAAAGUGAAGAAAUUCAACCAAGCGCGGGUAAACGGCGGGAGUAACUAUGACUCUCUUAAGGUAGCCAAAUGCCUCGUCAUCUAAUUAGUGACGCGCAUGAACGGAUCAACGAGAUUCCCACUGUCCCUACCUACUAUCUAGCGAAACCACAGCCAAGGGAACGGGCUUGGAACGAUCGGCGGGGAAAGAAGACCCUGUUGAGCUUGACUCUAGUCCGACUCUGUGAGGAGACACGGRAGGUGUAGCAUAUAGGCGGGAGA